AUAUACCAAUGACAUCUGUUAUAAAAUCGGCCCAAACCAACUGUACCAUAUCUAUGAUGUACCUCAUUUAUUGAAAUGUUUUCGCAAUAAUUUUCAGAAAAAACCUACUCAUUGGCAACCAAAGGGCAAAGUGGGAGUAUAUUGAGAGACUUUAUAAAGUGGAUGGUUUUGGUGGCAGAGCAAGAAGCACCAAACUUACUGAGAAGCACAUAAAUCCAACUUCAUAUGACAAAAUGAAGGAUCUUUAGGUCAUCAGCAAACAUGAAAGGUGUGGAAUGAUGCAAGCAAUUGAUAAUGUCAUUUAUGAACAUAUUAAAAAUAACAGUCCCAAAUGGGAGCCCUGUGGGUACCCAGAAGCAAUAUGAUGGAAAUUGGAACUAAAACCAUUAAGAACCACAUGGUCAAAUUUGCAGCCCAAGUUUUUAG